UUCUUAUAUCAUAUAAUUUGAGAAUAAACAUUUUACAAGAAAAAAAAAAAAAAAAAAGCAACGUCGGGCUCGGUUAGUACUUGGAUGGGUGACCGCCUGGGAACACCGAGUGCUGUAGACU
rnacentral:rRNA from 1 species